AUGAGCUCUUGUGCAUGUGAUUCAGAUGUCACUGAGUUUUCUGGUCUCAUUCUUUUCUUGGAAGGAAGGAGGGCUCCAAAACUGGGGAUAGGUUAUCCGUGCUCUGAGUCUGAGAAGGGGAUUUGGGGGAGGCUUAAGGUAGAAACAAAAGAUCUCAGUUUUGCCAUCCAAAUCAACCCAUGGCCAGAUCAGAUUUAGGGUAAAUUGAUUUAAUGGUCAGGAAUGCAUUUGGUGGCCAGUCUUCCAGGGGGCCCAUGAAAGUUCAGGAUUUCUUCUGAAUUUUGUCCUUGGAGGUGUGGGAAGAAUGAAUAUUGAAUAUUCAUACUCAACAUGAAUAUUUUGGAAGCUGGGCCUGAAAGUUAAGGUUCACUGAAAGCUAAAAAUGAGAUGAACUCAGUGAAAGUACUGUGGAAAGAGGCACCUGGCUGGAUAUUUGAAUCUUCUUAACCCUGAGCUCUGCUUCAGUCUCAUCUGUUGUGUUCAUGACAUGACUCUCUAAUCACUAUGGGCAAUUGGGAAAAUGGUUAUUUUCAAAAAGAAAUUGACUUGUCUCUUCGUAGUUUAAUGUAGAAGCAGGUAUAGUUUGGUUAUGGUGAAAUCUGGUAAGUUGGUCUUUGUGAUAAUACAUACCUUUUGGUUUCAGAAAACAUUGUAUACUUAUUUUCUAUAUGACUAAUUUUCCGAGCACUUUUCAUUCUAGAUAAUUUAUCUUCAUCCCCUAAAAUUCCAGCAGAAACAAUUCUUCCUAUUUAAGAUAUCUUAGCAACUGGUACCCAAUUUAUCUAAUGUAUUCCCUUAGCCUCUAGGAGAAAUUAAAAAUAAUCUGUGGAGUACUGAGUAUAGUCUAAUAGCAGAAGGGUACCAUAGCCCAUUGUUUCUAACUAUUUGCAUCAUUUUUGGCAGGUCCAAUGACGGCAUCCACAGAUGAGGCCAAAGCUUGAAUGCCCUUGGAGCCUAUACUGCUUUUAGGCCCUGGCAGAAACAUGGUUUUUAAAUCACAUUCCAAAGUGCAAUUACCAACAAUGAAUAAAUACAUCAUAACAAUGGGGGAAGCAGAAAAUGACUUUAGAAAGACAGAGUGAUCUUUUGAGACACAGUCUAUAUAAUUCCUAGGAAGCCCUGAUAGUAUCUUCUUGGGAAAUCUCCCUGCUGCAGGAAACUGCCUUCCUAGAUUUUACCUCACUGCCUCUAGUUGCAGUUACUUCAGUCAUCACCAAGCUUUAGUGAAGAGAACAGCCUGAAAAACAGAAAGCUCUGCAAUGAUUCGGCAGUGUGUGCUGGAGAGACAGUGCCUGAGAGCAUCAUAAACACGAGGGGAGAGGCGCUCCAUAAAUAUGCGGGUAGUUAUUUAUUACAAAAUAAAUUAUGUAUUGACAUGAGGAAUUACACCAUAAUUUUCUGUUUGAGAUGGUACCAAACUAAAUUGGUUUCUAUCUAAAAGGUCACAUGGAAUGCUGGCUUUGUGUUCCUGUCAUGACAUUUGCCUUAUUGGCAUUCAGGUGCAUUCCCUCUGCUUCAUGCAAUCACUGUCUCCUUUCACUGUGUUUACAGAUAAUCCAGCAACUUUGCAGGCCAAAUGGCGUUCUGAAUAUGAGCCCACAAAGCAUUGAAUCAGACAGCCUCCUGCUUAGAGAGUUUUCAGCACAGUUCAGCCAUAAGGCAAACAUCAAUAAUUGCUUUAGAAGGGAAAGUGACAGGCAAUUGUUCAUAAUUUGCCAUCACAAUAAUUAAGAGUGGCUAGGACUAUUGCAACCACUAUUUAAUUUCCCCUUCUUUAAAAUUAACUCUGUUAUUGUCACCAACUGCUCUGUGGUGAGGCCCAUUAACACUGUUUGUCUGAGGGCUUCUAUUCCUAGGAACAAAUCAUUCGCUCACCUUCAUGUCAAAACAACGAUGCGUUUUGAUCCAAGCUAUUUUACAUUUACGCAUUUACAGUAAGGACUUGCAUAAGCUUUAAAAGAAUAGCCCAAUUGCUAAGCUGUGGUUGAGUGCGGCUCUGCAGCCUUCUCGUGAAACAUACUGUACUGUAUAUAGUUUAGAACAAAUAGCCAGAAGCCUUAA